GACGAACGCUGGCGGCGUGCUUAACACAUGCAAGUCGAACGGAAAGGCCCUUCGGGGUACACGAGUGGCGAACGGGUGAGUAACACGUGGGUGAUCUGCCCUGCACUUCGGGAUAAGCCUGGGAAACUGGGUCUAAUACCGGAUAGGACCAUGGACUUCACGGUUUGUGAUGGAAAGCUUUUGCGGUGUGGGAUGGGCCCGCGGCCUAUCAGCUUGUUGGUGGGGUAAUGGCCUACCAAGGCGACGACGGGUAGCCGGCCUGAGAGGGUGUCCGGCCACACUGGGACUGAGAUACGGCCCAGACUCCUACGGGAGGCAGCAGUGGGGAAUAUUGCACAAUGGGCGCAAGCCUGAUGCAGCGACGCCGCGUGAGGGAUGACGGCCUUCGGGUUGUAAACCGUCUUCAAUAGGACGAAGCGCAAGUGACGGUACCUAUAGAAGAAGACACCGGCCGAACUACGUGCCAGCAGCCGCGGUAA
rnacentral:rRNA from 1 species